rnacentral:rRNA from 1 species
UGCCAGCCGCCGCGGUAAUACGGAGGGGGCUAGCGUUGUUCGGAAUUACUGGGCGUAAAGCGCGCGUAGGCGGGUCGUUAAGUUAGAGGUGAAAGCCCGGAGCUCAACUCCGGAACUGCCUUUGAUACUGGCGGCCUAGAGUCCGGGAGAGGUGAGCGGAAUUCCGAGUGUAGAGGUGAAAUUCGUAGAUAUUCGGAGGAACACCAGAGGCGAAGGCGGCUCACUGGACCGGUACUGACGCUGAGGCGCGAAAGCUAGGGUAGCGAACGGGAUUAGAUA